GAUGAGCGCUGGCGGCGUGCCUAAUACAUGCAAGUCGAGCGAACGGACGAGCAGCUUGCUUCUCUGAUGUUAGCGGCGGACGGGUGAGUAACACGUGGCUAACCUACCUAUAAGACUGGGAUAACUUCGGGAAACCGUAGCUAAUACCGGAUAAUAUUUUGAACCGCAUGGUUCAAAAGUGAAAGACGGUCUUCCUGUCACUUAUAGAUGGAUCCGCGCUGCAUUAGCUAGUUGGUAAGGUAACGGCUUACCAAGGCAACGAUGCAUAGCCGACCUGAGAGGGUGCUCGGGCACACUGGAACUGAGACUCGGUCCAGACUCCUACGGGAGGCAGCAGUAGGGAAUCUUCCGCAAAGGGCGAAAGCCUGACGGUGCAACGCCGCGUGAGUGAUGAAGGUCUUCGGAUCGUAAAACUCUGUUAGUAGGGAAGAACAUAUGUGUAAGUAACUGUGCACAUCUUGACGGUACCUAAUCAGAAAGCCACGGCUAACUACGUG
rnacentral:rRNA from 1 species